GUCGAUAAUUGGCCGAAUCUGAAACAUUUUCAGUACGGGGGAGAUUCUGGAUUUUUGGGGUGAACCGCCUGCGGGCGGAGGGUUGCUCUCGACCCGAACCCGUCAACUAACCUCGGAGGCCUUACGGGAGGUCUA
rnacentral:sRNA from 2 species